CCGUGCCCUACGUCAGUGUAUCUGACAGCCCAAGUGGGUGGGUCUCCAUCUGCUGGCAGUACCCCACAACUCCCAGCAGCUGAGGAUGAUAUUGUGAGGCUGAGUUUCUUUCACAUCUUGCAGCCAAAACCAUUUACUGCAACAGAUUGAAUACAAAAGCAGAGUGUCUCUGAGAGCCUUCCACAGAAAUAUGUGGACCAUUUAUCUGGAGCUGCUGGUCAAAGAGGAAAAGAGACAUUAAAUGGACACGUAGACGAUUGACCUUAAACAAGAAGAAGAGAAUAGAAGAAAUGCUGAUAUGUUAUAUGAAAAAAUUAAGGGUUGGAUAAGAAGAAAGGCAGACCAAUAUGGUAAAGAAGUUGAAAUGAAACAGCAACUUGAACUCACUCUCAGAGCACUAGGUGGAACUGAAGACUGGGAAAUGAUCUGAAUCAGGUUAUGGAGACACUCAGAAGCAGCUUUCUGGAGAACAGAAUGCCAGAAUCUUACAGGGUGGAAUCCUGGCCAAUCACUUUGCCAAACAAAAGCAGAAAGAAAUGGCUAAUAAGGAAAUGAAGUCUGAAGUAGUUUCUAUAGUCAUUUAUGUGUGUGUAUGUAUCUGUGUAUGUAUAUAUUUUAUAAACCAGCAGUAUGCAUAAUAGAAAUUAUAGAUGAUUGUGAAAGCCUAUACAUCUGUAUUUUGAGGAGGAAUGGCAUUUGUCAUCUGUUGGAUAAAGUAAUAUUUGUAAUUUAGAUCCAUUUGUCUAUAGCAGUCAGGGAGGGACAUACGAUGACCUCAUCCAAGGAGAGGCCUCUAAUAUUUUCCAUAGGAAUUGAUCUCAAAAUCAUUGCAACUGUAUAGGAGGAGCCGGCACCCUCCUCCGAUUGCGCUUUAGGCCAGACAGACGGCGUGUACUCCCCCAUCCACUGCGCUGCACACCAAGUCUCUCUGCUCUGGGGGGAGUGUGUGCGUCACUCCAUACCCGCCUCCCCUCCAGUGUCUCAGUCAGAGUCUGUUCCUGGCUCCACUGUCGUUUCUGUAACUACUGGCCUGUCAGCAACCUUUGCACAUCAUUUACUGUUUUCCAGUUUGUGAAAACUGCAGCAUCAGUUGUAAAAACAUUUUUGAACACUUCCAAAAGUAACUUCUUCAAA